CUGCUCUUCUGGGAUACAGGAGCCCCAGCUGGGCCAGGCCAGGAAGGAGUUAAUUGUGCCCUCGAGGCACCAAUUAUCUCCAGCUAAUUGCACCCUCUGACUGCCCCCAGGGAGGGAGCCCACAGCUGGGAGGAGGCCAAUGGCCACGGCCUGUGCUGGAGCUGGGGGGAACUGCUUGGUGGGUCUGGAGGUGAUUUGGGGCAAAAGUUUCCCUGGUCUGGACCAGCCCCAGCUCAGUGCUCAGCCACAAGAUCUGCUACGGGCAGGGCUGAGAGCCUGGGAUGUCUUCGGCGGCACCGGAGGGUGCGGGAUGAGGAGCCCCUGGCUGUGCGCGAGCUCAGCCGUCCUCCUGCCAGAGUGCCCUGGCGUGUCAUUGUCACCUCCUCCUGCGUGAAGAGCUUGGCGUGAGUCAUCUCCCAGCUAAAUGCAGUGUGUGGGCUCGCUGUAGCUUCGGGCUGUUCAUCCUCUGCUUCCUGGAGCCUGACACGGGGUAAAACAGCGAUUCAUCAGCGCGGGGACGAGGCGAGAUGAAUGUCCUGUGCCGCAGCGCAGGCCUUGCUCCCCUCCUACCCGAGUGCUCCAGCGAGGAGCGCUGAAGUGCU